UUAAGGUACAAUUUAAGAACGACGUAGAGCUAAGAAGGUUUCGGGGAACGCAGCCCAAGUAGGUAACAGAUUACAGACAUUUUAAUAAGGUUGUGCAUAUGACAGAGCAACGAGCAAGAGCAAUCAUGCUCUCCUGUAGUCUUAUUCUCUUAUACAGUCCGACUCUUGUCGGAUUCUGUGGUGCGGGAUUAAAUUUAAGAGUAUAAAUACGGUAGCAGUCGGAACUCUGGGGUACCCAUAUUGGACGAAUGAUCCUCACCCAAUGUGCAUGUAAUAAUAUUGUUAAUAAUAUUGUUUGAUAUUGUUCAAUGACUAAUUGCACAUUUUAAUAAUUUAUGCUAUAUCAUCUUUUCAAUAUUUAGUUAGGACUCAUUCCAUUGUGAAUUGCCUUUUUAAGUUUAUAAUAUUGCUUAUUUUUGCUAUCAUUGCUAUAUUAAUAUCUUAUGCCGUUUAUUUUACAUUUAUUUUACCAGCACGGAUGUAUACACUGUUCUAUGCAUACUUUACACAUUAUUUUAAGCACAGCCUUUGGUCAUUAUUAACUUCACAUUAAAAUAAUGAAUUAUAAGAGCUUAAUAAUACAAUGUCUCUGCAAAUCUUUAGUCUCCUCACGUAUUGCCUUCUACAAAAUAAUAGAUGAGAUCUUACAUGGGAGCACAGUGCUAUUCACGUCCUUAUAAAAGGGCUGUAUCUGUUAUCACAAUACUUGUUCUGUUUAAAAUUAGAUAUUAAUAUAGCAAUGACAGCAAAAAUAAGUAAUAAUAUAAACUUGAGAAGGCAAUGCAGUGAAUGCACAAUGGUAUGAGUCCUAACUAAAUAUGGAAAAGAUGAUUUCACAUCGCAUAAAUUAUUUAAACGUGCAAUUAGUCAUUGAACAAUAUCAAACAAUAUUAUUAACAAUAUUAUUACUUGCACAUUGGGUGAAGAUCAUUCGGCUAAACUUUUAACAAGCGUGUGCUACAAUUAAGAGUAAUUCUGUAGGCGACAUUUCAGCACUUGACAAACGUCGAAAACAAGUCGUUAUUCGUUUUAUCAUUUUUGUUUUUAAUUUGAAAAAUCGAUUGAACGAACGAUUCAGGAAUUGAGGGGAAUAUGUUUAUUCGUUUAUCCGUUUUGAAAACAUAAACGAAUAAACAAAUUAUCCGAAGGAGGAUCUUGAUGAAACAGUCGAUGCCUGGAAUUGCCACAGGAUAAGGCCAACUCACAACCCACGUGCCCCCAGUGGUCGACCUUCAAUAAUGUUUGCUGUUCCCAAUUUAUAUGGAGUGCAGAAUUUCGUCCAUCCAGUUGAUCAAACAAAACUGGCCGUUUGCAGAGAGGAUUGUUUAUUUAAAGACUAUCCUUGUGAUGAGGACGUAUUUCACAUCUGUGUGGAACUAAUGGCUGACCAUAAUCUUGUCAUGCCAAAUGAUGUUUAUGAAAUUACAGACCUCUACCUUAGACUUCGUCAGUUGAUCCUUCAGGAACUGGACUUGGAUGACUAGGUUAAAUUAUUCUACAAUAUCCACUAGAAGCCAUUUAAAUACACUGUGUACACUUUUAAGAGUUCAGAUUGACAAAAUAUUUAAAUUUGGGCCAUUUUUUCUUCAUAAAUUGACACCUGUACUUGUUGAACUACAGCAAUACCCUCCUUUACUCAAUGUACAGUGUUUGGACAAGUCAUUUGAUAUGAUAAUUUGCUGCCUAAACAUAUAUUUAAGAAAUGAGGUUUUUGUAUUUUAUAAUUUAUAAUGAGAGGACUAAACAUGUUGUUGUGCGUAUAUUUGGGCACAUCAUCACAAUCAAUCUUAGAACUUUUUCUGUCAUCUUGGUAUUUUGAAUAAAAUGUAUAUUAACCA